UGGGCAGCGGGCGCCUCUGUGGAAGCCACCUCAGCUGGCAGGUGGAGAUGUCAGCAGAAAGGCCUGCAGGUGCAGUGGAGGGAAAAGAAGCAGAGAGAGAAAUCCUCCCAGCCAGGUCUCCACUUUGGCACCAGCAUGUAUGAUACUCGGACACCUCUUCCUAAAAAACGAAACAGCAGACCAGAAUGGAGUCACUUUUGCUAAACGGCACCACCAAGUCAAAACUCAAUACCUAGCCUGAUUGGCGUUUCAGCCUCUUCCAGGAGUAGAAUUUUAAACUAGUCUGGGACUUCCUGACCAACACAGUGGGGUCAUCUGCCUGGAAGCUGAGCCAAUCAUUGAGCAAUACAUGUCCACAGCAACACAGGCGUCAACAGCAAAUACACUGCCUGCUCUGAGCCCGGAAUUGAAAUAAAAGCGAACAGCUGCCAUGGUCUGGCUUCUUAUCCCACUUCUCUUUACUCAUGGAGUUAUUAUUGGAACCAGACGUAAGAAUAGCAAACACCUUGAAUGCUAGGUCAAGGAAGAAUUUGAGCAAGAAAGGAGCAUGUUCAGAUGUUCAUGUUUGGAGGAUUUCUGGCCCAUUUUGGUACUCACAGUUAUUCCGGAUGGCUUAUGAACCAGGUUCCAGUCAACAGAUGCAUGAAACACAACUCUAUUUAUAUUUGAUGUGGCCCUUGGGACCAUCAGCUCCUAACUCAGCUACUAAUAACUCUUGUAGCCAGAGCAUGUCAGUUAAAUUCUCAGAAUCUCAUCUUCCUUAUCUUGUAAUCUCAUUUUCCUUAUCUUGUAGUGUUGUUGUAAGGAUUACAAAUAAUAUAUUACAGUGUCUACUGCAUAAUAAAUUAUAGCUAUUA